UACAGAGGUGGCAAGCGUUGUUCGGAAUUACUGGGCGUAAAGGGCGCGUAGGCGGCCAUCUAAGUCAGACGUGAAAUCCCCCGGCUUAACCUGGGAACUGCGUCUGAUACUGGACGGCUUGAGUGCGGGAGAGGGAUGUGGAAUUCCAGGUGUAGCGGUGAAAUGCGUAGAUAUCAGGAGGAACACCGGUGGCGAAGGCGGGUCUCUGGGCAGUAACUGACGCUGAGGAGCGAAAGCGUGGGGAGCGAACAGG
rnacentral:rRNA from 1 species